GUUCAAUGCUCCGAUAAAUAGAAGGACCAUCAAGAACAGAACUAAGUAAAACAUCAUAAGUUUUGAACAACACUUCUUCUCUACUUCUCUUUUUAGCAUAAGUUUGUAAAAACAAGGUGAAGCUCACAAAAAUAAUAAUUUAUAAACAUAUUUUUUAUGUGGUGUAACAUAUAUUGUCAUGUUAAGUACAAAAAAUAAAGUGUAAGGUAAUCACAUUAAAACUCUGAAACACACUGGAUAGGUACUUGGGCUUUGUUAAACUUUCCCAUCAUCUCCUCCUUCUGCUCAUAAAACAUCAUCCAUAUUUAGAAAACUGCAAUAAUAACUAUAACAAUGACAAAAAAAAAAGUUCUAUUCUUUGUUUGUUGGGGGGUGGGGGGUUGGAAACAAAAUUAAUUUUACCGUCUUAUCAACAUCAUGUAUUAGCACAAUUAAAUAAUGUAUUAGCACCAUUCAUUCCAGAAUCUCAUAAAAAAUAGUAUACAGUAACAAAAAUGUCCACUUUCACUUAUGCUUAGCUUUUACCACUUAAAGAAGAUUAUUUUUUGCCGUUUACAUCUUCAGCUUCACAUUUAUUUCUUUUUUCACACCUCAAUUUUCGUGAUUUCUUAAUUUGGUUUCAUAGUUUUACAUGUGUUCGGUCAAGAGGUCAUUUUACUUGCACAAAGUUUCCAAGGUAAUUGACAUUUUCUUUUUCGUCCAGAGUUGUUGAUAGUGAAGCUUCACCCAAGUGCAAUCCAAUGGCUACUAUUCAUGUGCAUUUCACUUCUCUUUUUCAUUAAAAACAAUCCUUCCUUUCUAAUGCUUUCUUUUUACCAUUCUUAUACUCAUAAGUUUACUUGAUUGACAUGCCAAAAAAGAAAGAUCUCAUAGCAACAAUACAUAUUAUCAAUGGAGAUAUGGUAGCAUUUACUUACUUCAAAUAGAUGUAUGAUUCUAAAAUCAGCAUGUCCUUCUCAAGUCUGACUUUCUCUUUUUCAUUGAGAGGAGGGUGAGCAACUUUAAACCUACUAAUACAUAAUAUUUCAACUUAUCCUUUAGCUGGUUUUGUAAUAAGCUCUCAAAAAAGUGUAACGAUUAUGCCCUUCUUGCUCUAUAAAAAUUGGCAGAAAAAGAGACUGCAAAAACAUCUUAGUACAUAAAAAAUGAUUAUUAUUUUAUCAAGAGUACAUAAAAAUAACUAAUGCAAUCCAGUUUGUUGGGUAAUCCAACAACUUUCAUCAGUUUAGAUGGUUCUACUCUUUUUGUUCUGAACCUAAAGUGAUGUUAUAACUUGAACUUCUAUUUUUGAACUUAGUACAAACUUCUUCAGGAUUAAAUUCAAUAACAUGAUCUGAAUACAAUAAAGUGCACCAAAAGAAGAGAUGGAAACUUUUGGUGACUGAGCUUAUCUCUCAAACAUAAAUGUAAUAUCACUCAAUUUAGAGAUACCUCGAAAAUUACGAAGUUGUAAACUGCCUCUAGAACAGGUGAGAAAAUGUGCAACAUACUGUGUCUGAAUCUCUCAUGGCUUAUCUAUGACUUAGUAUCGUGAAAGAUACAGUUUGCACAAGUGAAUCAAUCUCCCACAUUUAUAUCCAAAUGCACCAUUUAGCUCUAGAAAAAACCUUUCCUAUUCUGAUACAAAGUAAACUUUCAUGCUGCUAUUUAAAAUUUCAAUUAAAAGAAACAAAAAAAAGAAGACAAAAGAAAACACUUAUGCUACACUUGUUCUUAUCAUGUUGGGCAUCAAGUUAAAACCAUACUCCUGGGCCCGUGAUAUAUCUACCCAAGAUUGAAAAGUAUAGAAACCAUCAAACAUGAAACUCAUAAGGGAUGUUGUUACUUUGCCUUUCACAUUUGCAAUAUCAGCACAAAUGCAAUAACAUAGUAAUUCACGUCUAACUAAAUUGAUUGCUCUAAGCAACUGAGAGGUACUGCUCAUGGCAAGAUAUUCACUCGUCUUGACAUUCUAAAGACAGAAGUAAAUCGAAGCAUUGAAUGUCAUUGAUUCAAAUCUACAACCUUAAGAAAAGCUAAUAUCCUUUCAUUUGAUCAUUUUGAAGCUACAAUAGGAAAAUUAACAUGGAUCAUCAUAACUUAUGCGACAAAUGGCAUUCCCACUCCCAAAAGUCACGUUGAGUUGCUGCUCUUUCCGAUUUAGUUAGAAUACCAACUUUAUAUACCUUUAGUAUUUAGUUCUUAGAAAUGCAGAAAGAGCGGGAUAAAAACACACAUUCGUUUAUGAAGGCAAAUAUUAUUUUAUAGAAGAUUCAAAGUUCUUGCAAGUUCCUUUAAGCAGCAAAAUGAACUUCUUACAGCUUCAUUGAAGAGUUGCAUGCUGCACAUUACCAGAUAGAAAAGGAAAAAGGUGCCAGACUGGUAGAUUACAGAUGAAUGAUUCUGUAAUCACUCACUUGCAGUUCUCUAUAUCUUGUCUUAAAUCUUUCCAGUCCAUCUUUAGUAGUGAAUUACUAACUCUUAACAAAGCUUCUAAAUGAUAAUUUCCUUCGUAUAUCUCUUGAAAAGCUAAUCAUACAUUCAACUUCUAAGUGAAGCAGAGGAUAUUUAAAACAAAGAACAGGAAGCAUAUUAUCACUCUUUUGGCAAGAAACAAUAUGAGACUCCAGUAGAAACUCAUUGAUGAAUGAGCAUCUAUAUGUUUGGCAUGAAGAAGAUAUAGAACAAUGCAGAUCAUACAUGUAGCCUAUCAUGAAAUGCACAGCGAUCCCCUUUUCUUGCUCUAAUCUAUGUAGCUUUGCACCUAUGCAAAGAAACAGAAUGUUGUCAAAGGAGGAAGAAAAUGAAAAUGGAAGAAGUAUAUACAUCAAUAAUGUUAUAAUUAACACCUUGAGGCAUCCAAGUCUUUCUAAUAGAGUCGCGCCUUUUUCUACUACUGAAGGUCGUGUUUAUCCCAAUAACCAUAAAUGUCUUCUUUCUGGGCCUACGUCCUCCAGAAUCUGUGCUCAAGGAAGGAACCUCUUCAGUUAUCCGUGGAAUUAGAGGAUCCUUAGUUGAAGGCAGCUCACUUUGAAUCCUAGAAAUUGAAUCAUCUAGCGAUCUGUUCAAUGCUCCGAUAAAUAGAAGGACCAUCAAGAACAGAACUAAGUAAAACAUCAUAAGUUUUGAACAACACUUCUUCUCUACUUCUCUUUUAGCAUAAGUUUGUAAAAACAAGGUGAAGCUCACCAAAAAUAUAAUUUAUAAACAUAUUUUUUAUGUGGUGUAACAUAUAUGGUCAUGUUAAGUACAAAAAAUAAAGUGUAAGGUAAUCACAUUAAAACUCUAAAACUCACUGGUUAGCUACUUGGGCUUUGUUAAACUUUCCCAUCAUCUCCUCCUUCUGCUCAUAAAACAUCAUCCAUAUUUAGAAAACUGCAAUAAUAACUAUA
rnacentral:lncRNA from 1 species